GAGAAAGUCAGAUAAUAGUUGUGGAUGUUGCAAUUGGGGUGACUCAAGAUGAGUUUGUCAAUGCAAUAGUCUUUCUAGCGUCCAUAUUGUGGCAUCACCCUUAUUUAAUGAUAUAAGUGGUGUAAUUGAGCCUAUGUUCAGGCUUAAUGCCCAACACUAAGCAGAGCCCUUGGCCUGUAUGAUGACAGUUCCUGGAAAAACACCUGUAGCUUUCUUAUAGAAUGUGGGGAUGAUGCUAGGGUUCCUAGUAAUGAAAAUUUAUUUGUCUUUUAAUUAAAAACUCCUUAGAGGCAAUGUAGUUAAAAGGGUAAAAUGUAUGCAUGCAUGUUUUUAGUUUUGGUACACCCCUAGUUCCGUUGUAACUGUUCUACACUGUCCCACAGACAGCUGAUCAUAUCUGUUACUGAAUUUCGUUUCGGGUUUUCUGGAAUUUGCCACUGUUAUUUUACCAGGUGAGGCCCAGCCUACUUUUUUAACAGGCCUGGCCAAAGAGUGUAAGCUGCUGGAGACCUAAGCAAAUUAUAAAUGUCUUCAAGCUUUUAUUAACAAACACUAUUUUGUCUACAGAAGAAAUAUGUUCUUUUAUACCAUCCUGAUCUAAGAAACUGGAUAAAUCCAGCAUCAGAUAUUUAUUUCUUGAAAAUCACAUUGCGAAAAGAAAAAAAUUAUAGGUAACAUCAAGACAGUAUUUGCACCAAAUAUAUAUUUCUAUUAAUAUAAAUAAAUGGGUAAUUUUUCUGUUCACAAA